UACGUAGGGGGCGAGCGUUGUCCGGAUUUAUUGGGCGUAAAGAGCGCGUAGGCGGCCGUUCGCGUCGGAUGUGAAAGCUCGGGGCUCAACCCUGAGAGGCCAUUCGAUACGGGACGGCUAGAGGUAGGUAGGGGAGAUCGGAAUUCCUGGUGUAGCGGUGAAAUGCGCAGAUAUCAGGAGGAACACCGGUGGCGAAGGCGGAUCUCUGGGCCUUACCUGACGCUGAGGCGCGAAAGCGUGGGGAGCAAACAGG
rnacentral:rRNA from 1 species